rnacentral:sRNA from 1 species
GUAUAUCAAAAUCGAGCGAACGAAGAUCUCCGGAUUGCUGCACUCUGCUACAUGCCUUUCGAAUCCGUUUACUGCAUCGCCGGAGAAGUAGGAAUCUGUUUACUUACCUUUGGAAUCCAUCCUCAUCCCUCUCCGUCUAGUGUGAUGCAGCAGUUAGGCACUAGUGCAGUGACAUCUAAGUUUAAACAGACUUUUUUCUUCAAAAUGCGACAUUUUCUUCUGAUGUCUGCAGCCUCUAUGUCCUGAAUUUGUUACGUGUAAUUAGACUACCGGAAGGAAGAGAAGAUUUCGAAAGAGAGAAUUUUGCUCUUCUUAUUUUAUCGCUUAGUAGUAUAUUUCACUUUGUGGAUAUCAAACUUCUGACUUUUAUUGACUAUCACUACAUUUAAUAAACUGGUUGAUCUCAUUU